rnacentral:lncRNA from 1 species
AUUAUCAUAUAUAUUAUAAUAGUCUUACAUAUGUACUUUUGUGAUAUAAAUAUUAUUUACAUACUAUUACUCGCCAUGAUAUUUUUUUAAUGAUUUUAAUGGCGAUUGGGAUGUAUAAUAAUUAUGCACUAUUAUAUUAUGAUAUGCAUCAUGUUGCUGAUGCAUAUGCCAUUUUUGAUGUUACACAUUUAUACCUUGUUGUAUUAUAAAAUUACUUAUAGUUUGGUUGAGUAUUUGCAAGUGAUAUUUAAGUUCGAAAUCAGUUUUGUUUUAGUUUUUUGUAUAUAUAUGUAGUUCUUAUAGCAUUUAUUUAAUUUUCAAUUCAGGUUCCACUCAUAAAAUAAUUCCUCAAUUAAUCAAAAAUGAAAUUUCAUUUACAAAUCAGUUCUCUUAAAAUUAAUAUAUCAAUUCAGUUCUUGAUAUCUUUAUUUCCCCUCAUAUUUCAGAUCCUAAUUCAGUUAAUAAAUGGAUUAAGAACUAAAAUAAGAUAGAAAAAUAUUAAUAUCAAGAACUGAACUAUUGCGAACUGAUUUAAAACUGAGAAAAUUAACUAAUCACCCCAUGAGCAAAAUCAAAAAUUAGAAAUUAAAUCAAUGCCGAAAAAACUGCGCAAAAGCUGAAAUAGAACUGAUUUAUAACUUAUAUAUACUCCGGUAUUUACUCUUAAUCAAUAGAUUUGCUAAUGAACCGCCUCCACACCUCUGGAAGCACUCAACUUGCUUCUCCACACAAAGCCAUUCACGUUUUGGGUAAAUUACUAGCCUUGACUGUAGUGUCACAACGGCCUUUAGGUUAUAAAUUAAUAAAAAUGUUUGAUAUUAGGAUAAUAAGUAUGUCCUUUUUACUUACAGGUUGGAUUUAGCAGAAGUUAAAUCAACCCAAGAACAUAUAGUUACUGCGCUUAAAAGGCUAGGAUGGAGAACUGAGCCAAAAAGUUUUUCGCUUUUAAGAGAUAAAUGUCACUCACUUGAAGAAUCUGAUGCUUUCAAAAACAAGGCAGCAACUAAAAUGAAGGUUACGGAUAAAGAAUGAUAAAGGUGGCAAGUCUAGGAGUGUAUAAUUGGGAAAUCAGUGCAAAAGUUUAAAAAGAUUCGGCGAAGCGAGUUUCGCUGCAGUAGUAUCAAACAAAUUUGGCGAGAGAUAUCGAUUCCAUUAAAUCUUCUGGAUAUCGAUUCUUUUAUUGGUGAACUUGGAGAAUUAAUGUUUUCACCUCGAACCGUAGAUAACCUGAAGGAUGUGACAUUGUUGUAAUGUAAAUUACAACAACAAUAUAUAUU